CCUACGGGAGGCAGCAGUCGAGAAUUAUUCACAAUGGGGGAAACCCUGAUGGUGCGACGCCGCGUGGGGGAAUGAAGGUCUUCGGAUUGUAAACCCCUGUCAUGUGGGAGCAAAUUAAAAAGAUAGUACCACAAGAGGAAGAGACGGCUAACUCUGUGCCAGCAGCCGCGGUAAUCCAGAGGUCUCAAGCGUUGUUCGGAAUCACUGGGCGUAAAGCGUGCGUAGGCUGUUUCGUAAGUCGUGUGUGAAAGGCGCGGGCUCAACCCGCGGACGGCACAUGAUACUGCGAGACUAGAGUAAUGGAGGGGGAACCGGAAGUCUCGGUGUAGCAGUGAAAUGCGUAGAUAUCGAGAGGAACACUCGUGGCGAAGGCGGGUUCCUGGACAUUAACUGACGCUGAGGCACGAAGGCCAGGGGAGCGAAAGGGAUUAGAUACCCUAGUAGUC
rnacentral:rRNA from 1 species